rnacentral:lncRNA from 1 species
GCCUGGGGGACAGAGCAAGACUCUGUCUCAAAAGAAAAAAAAAUGAAAUAAAUAAUAUUAGAAAAGCUCUUAGCCCAGAACCCUCAGUGCCCAGUAGAUGCUCUUCGGAAAAGGCCCUAAGAAGCCAUCAAAGAUAUGUCAUGGAGGAAGCCAUCGAAGAGGAAAGAGGAAGCUUUGUAACAGUUUACCUGGGAGGAAUAACAAGCUGCCAUAUGAAUACUGAUGAGAAAGGAGGUGGGAGAGACAUUUGAUCAUCAAUCAAGUUAUGAUUAUGAACACUCAGUUAAGAAAGAAAUGUGAAGUCAGUGUUCCUGAACAUGAAGAACAAGACCAGGGGUUGGGUUUUGGAGUCACACGGACUUUUUUUGUUCCAGCUCAUUUGUCUUUUUACC